AAAAAAACAAACCCUGAGUUUCCGUGUCCAACUUUGACUGUCCGUCUUAUAUAAUUUUUUUUUAUAAUUCGUAUUUUCAUUGUUGUUAGAUGAUAAAACAUGAUUAAUAUUUUAUGCGUGACUUGUCUUUUUAAUUUUUUAAUAAUUUUUUCAAAUAAGACGGACGGUCAAACGUUGGACACAGAAACCAAGGUUAGUCUUUUC
rfam:Oryza rufipogon genomic scaffold, chr01